GAUGAACGCUGGCGGCGUGCCUAAUACAUGCAAGUCGAGCGAACGGACGAGAAGCUUGCUUCUCUGAUGUUAGCGGCGGACGGGUGAGUAACACGUGGAUAACCUACCUAUAAGACUGGGAUAACUUCGGGAAACCGGAGCUAAUACCGGAUAAUACUUUGAACCGCAUGGUUCAAAAGUGAAAGACGGUCUUGCUGUCACUUAUAGAUGGAUCCGCGCUGCAUUAGCUAGUUGGUAAGGUAACGGCUUACCAAGGCAACGAUGCAUAGCCGACCUGAGAGGGUGAUCGGCCACACUGGAACUGAGACACGGUCCAGACUCCUACGGGAGGCAGCAGUAGGGAAUCUUCCGCAAUGGGCGAAAGCCUGACGGAGCAACGCCGCGUGAGUGAUGAAGGUCUUCGGAUCGUAAAACUCUGUUAUUAGGGAAGAACAUAUGUGUAAGUAACUGUGCACAUCUUGACGGUACCUAAUCAGAAAGCCACGGCCAACUACGUG
rnacentral:rRNA from 1 species